rnacentral:misc_RNA from 1 species
GGAAACGUUCGCCAGCAACUGUCGCAACUAGCAAGUUUAUCUCACUCCGGUGGGUCUCACAGAGAUGUUACGGAGAAACUCUCUUGAUUUACAGAUACAAAGGGAUACUGGAGACCAUUCUGAAGACAGGUGGCAAUGAGAUGGUACCAAGUUUACAAGCCUUUGUGGAAGCAUUGGUGAAUGAGAAUGUCAGCCUUGUGAUUUCCCGCCAGUUGUUGUCAGAUUUCUGUGCCCACCUUCCUAAUCUAGAGGACUCUGUAGCCAAACAAGUGGCACAUUUUACUUUGGAAAAAGUUCACACUAGAGUCAUCUCCUUUGAGGAGCAGGUUGCAGCAAUCAGGCAACAUUUAGCAGACAUUUAUGAGAGGCAAUGCAGUUGGCGUGAAGCUGCCAAUGUGUUAGUGGGAAUACCUUUGGAAACUGGACAAAAACAAUAUCCCACAGACUACAAGCUUGAGACAUACCUGAAAAUUGCCCGCCUGUAUUUGGAGGAGGAUCCUGUACAGGCAGAGGCUUACAUCAACAGAGCCUCUCUCCUCCAGGCGGACUCCAAAAACGAGGAGCUUCAGAUCCACUAUAAGGCAUGUUAUGCCAGAGUUUUGGACUACAGGAGAAAAUUUAUUGAGGCAGCGCAAAGAUAUAAUGAACUCUCAUACAAGACAAUAGUCGCUGAAGAGGAAAGAAUGCAGGCACUCAAAAAUGCUCUUAUCUGUACAGUAUUGGCAUCUGCUGGACAGCAAAGAUCAAGAAUGUUGGCCACACUCUUCAAAGAUGAGCGAUGUACACAGCUGCCUGCUUAUAAUAUCUUGGAAAAAAUGUAUUUAGACCGUAUAAUCCGCAGCAGUGAUCUACAGGAGUUUGCUGCUCUGCUUCAGCCUCACCAGAAAGCUGUAACCUCUGAUGGCUCUAGUAUACUUGACAGAGCAGUGAUUGAACAUAAUUUGUUAUCUGCCAGUAAACUGUACAACAAUAUUUCCUUCGAAGAACUAGGAUCAUUAUUAGAAAUUCCAUCUACCAAGGCAGAGAAAAUAGCUUCCCAGAUGAUUACAGAAGGAAGAAUGCAUGGCUGUAUCGACCAAAUUGAUUCAAUAGUGCAUUUUGAAGCUCGAGAAGCUCUCCCUACCUGGGAUAAACAGAUUCAGAGUCUGUGUUUCCAAGUCAACCAGAUCAUUGAGAAGAUCUCACAGUCAGCACCUGAAUGGAUGUUGAAAACCACAGAAUCUCAGAUGGCUGAGGGGCAAUGAGGGACAACUACCUGAGGGUUGAGGGACAGCCUCUUAGUGGGGGGAGGGGUUGAAAGUGCUACAAGGAAGGGAUGCUGACUAUAACAGCGAAAAACUACAUCAUUUAUGAUGAGGGAUUAAAUGUGAUGCCCGAACAGUUAAUCCAAAAAUGGAGCCAGCUGCAAUAUCUCAUCAUGAAGGGAAUCAGUUCAUUGCUAGUAUUGAUAUACAUGUACUUGUAUUUGUAUAACUUUGCUUGACUUACAGCCUUACAUGUACAAUUUUAAUCAAAUUUUGUUUUGUUUUGUUAGAAUUAAAAAUGUUUAAGUCACUAGAUGUAACCAUGAUCCGAUAAGUAUGAUGAAUUUUUUGUUUUGAUUGAUUAUAGCCCACAAAAAGAAUUUUCCUAUGAUUUUAAGUUCAUUAACUGACUCCUAUGUAUCUUGAAUGUUAUUAUACAUGUAAUUGUUAAACUUAAAUCCUUCUACCAGUACUAUAUUUAUAUUUAUCCAAUGGAGAAAAGAGGGACAUGUUGACUUUAAUUUUUUAACAGUUUUGUAACAAGCAAAAUUACAUACAACAUUUUUAACAAAACUUUUGUUAAAAAUAUUGUGUUUUGCUUGAGAUAAAUGAAAUGAUUUAUAUUUAACAUUGCAAACUCCAAAAAUAUUGCAAAUUGUCGAAAUAAAAAGUCAAAUAUU